rnacentral:rRNA from 1 species
UACGGAGGGUGCAACCGUUGCUCGGAAUCAUUGGGCGUAAAGCGCACGUCGGCGGUGCAGUACGUCGGAUGUGAAAGCCCUCGGCUCAACCGAGGAAGUGCAUUCGAAACUGCUGUGCUUGAGUACGGAAGAGGGUCGCGGAAUUCCCGGUGUAGAGGUGAAAUUCGUAGAUAUCGGGAGGAACACCAGUGGCGAAGGCGGAGACCUGGGCCGAUACUGACGCUGAGGUGCGAAAGCUUGGGGAGCAAACAGG